GCAUCACAACCGUGAGCUAACUAUAGAGGCUAACUAUAAGAGGCAUCAAAGAAGCAUUAUGAAAGCUGUAUGGAACGCAGUUUGUCCCGUAUUUAAGGCAUAUGCCGUAUGACCACCUAGACCAUACGAAUACCAAACUCUAAGGUUCGCCAUGAUAACGCCAUGAAAAGGCAACUGCUGGACACCUGGGACAGGCCAUCAAUUCCAAGUUGGCGUCAAUUCCCUGUUAGAGUUUAGAGUUGUCUAAUAGAGAGGGUGAAGGAAGAACAUCCAAACCCUGCCCCUGCUUCCUUCAAGAUUUUUUAUGGAUUUAUAUA